UGGGGGAUAUUGCACAAUGGGGGGAACCCUGAUGCAGCGACGCCGCGUGAGCGAUGAAGUAUUUCGGUAUGUAAAGCUCUAUCAGCAGGGAAGAAAAUGACGGUACCUGACUAAGAAGCCCCGGCUAACUACGUGCC
rnacentral:rRNA from 1 species